GACGAACGCUGGCGGCGUGCCUAAUACAUGCAAGUCGAACGCUUUUUCUUUCACCGGAGCUUGCUCCACCGAAAGAAGAGGAGUGGCGAACGGGUGAGUAACACGUGGGUAACCUGCCCAUCAGAAGGGGAUAACACUUGGAAACAGGUGCUAAUACCGUAUAACAAUAGAAACCGCAUGGUUUCUAUUUGAAAGGCGCUUUUGCGUCACUGAUGGAUGGACCCGCGGUGCAUUAGCUAGUUGGUGAGGUAACGGCUCACCAAGGCAACGAUGCAUAGCCGACCUGAGAGGGUGAUCGGCCACAUUGGGACUGAGACACGGCCCAAACUCCUACGGGAGGCAGCAGUAGGGAAUCUUCGGCAAUGGACGRAAGUCUGACCGAGCAACGCCGCGUGAGUGAAGAAGGUUUUCGGAUCGUAAAACUCUGUUGUUAGAGAAGAACAAGGAUGAGAGUAAAAUGUUCAUCCCUUGACGGUAUCUAACCAGAAAGCCACGGCUAACUACGUGCCAGCAGCCGCGGUAAUACGUAGGUGGCAAGCGUUGUCCGGAUUUAUUGGGCGUAAAGCGAGCGCAGGCGGUUUCUUAAGUCUGAUGUGAAAGCCCCCGGCUCAACCGGGGAGGGUCAUUGGAAACUGGGAAACUUGAGUGCAGAAGAUGAGAGUGGAAUUCCAUGUGUAGCGGUGAAAUGCGUAGAUAUAUGGAGGAACACCAGUGGCGAAGGCGGCUCUCUGGUCUGUAACUGACGCUGAGGCUCGAAAGCGUGGGGAGCAAACAGGAU
rnacentral:rRNA from 1 species